rnacentral:rRNA from 1 species
CUACGGGAGGCAGCAGUGGGGAAUAUUGGACAAUGGGGGCAACCCUGAUCCAGCAAUGCCGCGUGUGUGAAGAAGGUCUUCGGAUUGUAAAGCACUUUCACUAGGGAAGAUGAUGACGGUACCUAGAGAAGAAGCCCCGGCUAACUUCGUGCCAGCAGCCGCGGUAAUACGAAGGGGGCUAGCGUUGCUCGGAAUGACUGGGCGUAAAGGGCGCGUAGGCUGUUUGUACAGUCAGAUGUGAAAUCCCCGGGCUUAACCUGGGAACUGCAUUUGAUACGUGCAGACUAGAGUCCGAGAGAGGGUUGUGGAAUUCCCAGUGUAGAGGUGAAAUUCGUAGAUAUUGGGAAGAACACCGGUUGCGAAGGCGGCAACCUGGCUCGGAACUGACGCUGAGGCGCGAAAGCGUGGGGAGCGAACAGGAUUAGAUACCCUGGUAGUCCACGCUGUAAACGAUGUGUGCUGGAUGUUGGGUGANUUUUAUCAUUCAGUGUCGGAGCUAACGCGUUAAGCACCGCCUGGGGAGUACGGCCGCAAGGUUGAAACUCAAAGGAAUUGACGGGGGGCCGCACAAGCGGUG